AGUCUGGUGCCAGCAGCCGCGGUAAUUCCAGCUCCAAUAGCGUAUAUUAAAGUUGUUGCAGUUAAAAAGCUCGUAGUUGAAGUUCUGGCUGCUCGAUCCUCGAGCUCUGUAGCCGAGGAAGCGACAGUCAUCCGCUUGCAAAUAUAUGUUCGUCUUUAACCGGACGGCUAUAUGAGUAAGCAUUUUACCUUGAGAAAAACAGAGUGUUCCAGGCAGGUUUGUCCGGAAUGCAUUAGCAUGGAAUAAUAGAAUAUGACUGAAGUCGAUCUAUUGGUUUGAGGCUUUAGUAAUGAUUAAUAGGAACAGUCGGGGGCAUUGGUACUUGUCAGUCAGAGGUGAAAUUCUAGGAUUUGACAAAGACUAACAAAUGCGAAGGCAUUUGCCAAGGAUGUUUUCAUUAAUCAAGAACGAAAGUUAGGGGAUCAAAGACGAUCAGAUACCGUCCUAGUCUUAACUAUAAACUAUACCGACUCGGAUUCAGAUGAAUCAAAAAGUUCAUUUGGGACCGUAGGAGAAAUCAAAGUUUUUGGGUUCUGGGGGAAGUAUGGUCGCAAGGCUGAAACUUAAAGGAAUUGACGGUUUUGCACCACCAUGGAGUGGAGUCUGCGGCUUAAUUUGACUCAACACUGGGAAACUCAUCAGGGCAAGAAGAUUUUAGGAUUGACAGAUUGAGAGUUCUUUCUUGAUUGGUCUAGUGGUGGUGCAUGGCCGUUCUUAGUUGGUGGAGUGAUUUGUCUGGUUAAUUCCGUUAACGAACGAGACCUUAACCUGCUAACUAGUACUUCGAUGACAAAUCGAUGUUACUUCUUAGAGGGACUAUGUGAUGCAAUCACAUGGAAGUUUGAGGCAAUAACAGGUCUGUGAUGCCCUUAGAUGUCCUGAGCUGCACGCGUACUACAAUGGUGCUUUCAACGAGCUUUUCCUGAUCCGAAAGGAUUUGGGUAAUCUUUUUAGUGAGCACCGUGCUUGGGAUAGAUCUUUGUAAUUAUGGAUCUUGAACUAGGAAUUCCUAGUAAGCACGAGUCAUCAGCUCGUGCUGAUUACGUCCCUGCAAAAUGUACACACCGCCCGUCGCUAUUACCGAUUGAGUGUUAAGGUGAACCUUCUCGAUAGAGCAAUC
rnacentral:rRNA from 1 species